rfam:Ovis aries breed Texel chromosome 4, whole genome shotgun sequence.
UCCCUAGUGGUCCAGUGGUUAGGACUUCACACUUUUACAGUGAAGGCUCCAGGUUCAAUCCUGGGUCAGGGAA